GAUCUCCAACAUACUAAAUACCAGAUCACCUAGCAUACCAAAUACCAGAUCUCCCAACAUACCAAAUAUCAGAUCAACCAACAAACCAAAUACCAGAUCACCAACAAACCAAAUACCAGAUCUCCCAACAUACCGAAUACCAGAUCACCAACAUACCAAAUACCAGAUCUCCAACAUACCAAAUACCAGAUCUCCAACAUACCAAAUACCAGAUCUCCAACAUACCAAAUACCAGAUCAACAACAUACUAGAUCUCCUAAGAUCU
rnacentral:lncRNA from 1 species